GUGAGGAAUAUUGGUCAAUGGGCGAGAGCCUGAACCAGCCAAGUCGCGUGAAGGAAGAAGGAUCUAUGGUUCGUAAACUUCUUUUGCAGGGGAAUAAAGUGCAGGACGUGUCCUGUUUUGUAUGUACCCUGAGAAUAAGGAUCGGCUAACUCCGUGCCAGCAGCCGCGGUAAUACGGAGGAUCCGAGCGUUAUCCGGAUUUAUUGGGUUUAAAGGGUGCGUAGGUGGUUUGAUGAGUCAGCGGUGAAAGUUUGCAGCUUAACUGUAAAAAUGCCGUUGACACUGUCGGACUUGAGUGUAAAUGAGGUAGGCGGAAUGCGUGGUGUAGCGGUGAAAUGCAUAGAUAUCACGCAGAACUCCGAUUGCGAAGGCAGCUUACUACGGGGUGAUUGACACUGAGGCACGAAAGCGUGGGGAGCAAACAGGAUUAGAAACCCUAGUAGUCC
rnacentral:rRNA from 1 species